GAUGAACGCUGGCGGCGUGCCUAAUACAUGCCAGUCGAGCGAACAGAUGAGGAGCUUGCUCCUCUGACGUUAGCGGCGGACGGGUGAGUAACACGUGGAUAACCUACCUAUAAGACUGGGAUAACUUCGGGAAACCGGAGCUAAUACCGGAUAAUAUAUUGAACCGCAUGGUUCAAUAGUGAAAGACGGUUUUGCUGCCACUUAUAGAUGGAUCCGCGCCGCAUUAGCUAGUUGGUAAGGUAACGGCUUACCAAGGCAACGAUGCGUAGCCGACCUGAGAGGGUGAUCGGCCACACUGGAACUGAGACACGGUCCAGACUCCGACGGGAGGCAGCAGUAGGGAAUCUUCCGCAAUGGGCGAAAGCCUGACGGAGCAACGCCGCGUGAGUGAUGAAGGUCUUCGGAUCGUAAAACGCUGUUAUUAGGGAAGAACAAAUGUGUAAGUAACUAUGCACGUCUUGACGGUACCUAAGCAGAAAGCCACGGCUAACUACGU
rnacentral:rRNA from 1 species